rnacentral:rRNA from 1 species
AUUGAACGCUGGCGGCAUGCCUAACACAUGCAAGUCGAACGGCAGCACGGGUGCUUGCACCUGGUGGCGAGUGGCGAACGGGUGAGUAAUACAUCGGAACAUGUCCUGUAGUGGGGGAUAGCCCGGCGAAAGCCGGAUUAAUACCGCAUACGAUCUACGGAAGAAAGCGGGGGACCUUCGGGCCUCGCGCUAUAGGGUUGGCCGAUGGCUGAUUAGCUCGUUGGUGGGGUAAAGGCCUACCAAGGCGACGAUCAGUAGCUGGUCUGAGAGGACGACAGCCACACUGGGACUGAGACACGGCCCAGACUCCUACGGGAGGCAGCAGUGGGGAAUUUUGGACAAUGGGCGAAAGCCUGAUCCAGCAAUGCCGCGUGUGUGAAGAAGGCCUUCGGGUUGUAAAGCACUUUUGUCCGGAAAGAAAUCCUUGGCCCUAAUACGGUCGGGGGAUGACGGUACCGGAAGAAUAAGCACCGGCUAACUACGUG